CCUACGGGAGGCAGCAGUGAGGAAUAUUGGUCAAUGGGCUUACGCCUGAACCAGCCAAGUCGCGUGAGGGAAGACUGCCCUAUGGGUUGUAAACCUCUUUUGUCAGGGAGCAACGCCGGCUACGUGUAGCCGGACUGAGAGUACCUGAAGAAAAAGCAUCGGCUAACUCCGUGCCAGCAGCCGCGGUAAUACGGAGGAUGCGAGCGUUAUCCGGUUUUAUUGGGUUUAAAGGUUGCGUAGGCGGAAGGCCAAGUCAGCGGUAAAAUCGCGGGGCUCAACUCCGGGACUGCUUUUGAAACUGUUGAACUAGAUUGCAGGAGAGGUAAGUGGAAUUCCUAGUGUAGCGGUGAAAUGCGUAGAUAUUAGGAGGAACACCAGUGGCGAAGGCGGCUUACUGGACUGUAAAUGACGCUGAGGCUCGAAAGCGUGGGGAGCAAACAGGAUUAGAUACCCUUGUAGUC
rnacentral:rRNA from 1 species